rnacentral:rRNA from 1 species
AUUGAACGCUGGCGGCAGGCCUAACACAUGCAAGUCGAGCGAGCGGCGGACGGGUGAGUAAUGUAGGGGGAACUGCUAGAUAGAGGGGGAUAAAUAGUGGAAACGGUGGCGAAUACCGCAAACUAUCGGCUGAACCCAUAUGGGAUUAGCUAGUAGGUGGGGUAAAGGCUCACGUAGGCGACGAUCUCUAGCUGGUCUGAGAGGUUGAUCGGCCACACUGGGACUGAGACACGGCCCAGACUCCUACGGGAGGCAGCAGUGGGGAAUCUUUCACAAUGGGCGCAAGCCUGAUGCAGCCAUGCCGCGUGUGUGAAGAAGGCCUUAGGGUGGUAAAGUACUUUCAGCGGGGAGGCGUUACCCGCAGAAGAAGCACCGGCUAACUCCGUGCCAGCCGCCGCGGUAAUUC